rnacentral:rRNA from 1 species
UACGUAGGGGGCUAGCGUUGUCCGGAAUCAUUGGGCGUAAAGCGCGUGUAGGCGGGCCGCCACGUCGGCUGCUGAAAUCCCCCGGCUCAACCGGGGAAGUGGCACCGAUACGAGCGGCCUCGAGGGGGGUAGGGGGGUCUGGAACUUCCGGUGGAGCGGUGAAAUGCGUUGAGAUCGGAAGGAACGCCCGUGGCGAAAGCGAGGCCCUGGACCCUUACUGACGCUGAGACGCGAAAGCCAGGGGAGCGAACGGG